rnacentral:rRNA from 1 species
UAAGCAUAUCAAUAAGCGGAGGAAAAGAAACCAACAGGGAUUGCCCCAGUAACGGCGAGUGAAGCGGCAACAGCUCAAAUUUGAAAUCUGGCUUCGGCCCGAGUUGUAAUUUGUAGAGGAUGCUUUUGGUGAGGUGCCUUCUGAGUUCCCUGGAACGGGACGCCAGAGAGGGUGAGAGCCCCGUAUAGUUGGACACCGAGCCUCUGUAAAGCUCCUUCGACGAGUCGAGUAGUUUGGGAAUGCUGCUCAAAAUGGGAGGUAUAUCUCUUCUAAAGCUAAAUACUGGCCAGAGACCGAUAGCGCACAAGUAGAGUGAUCGAAAGAUGAAAAGCACUUUGAAAAGAGGGUUAAAUAGUACGUGAAAUUGUUGAAAGGGAAGCGCUUGUGACCAGACUUGUGCCCGGCUGAUCAUCCAGUGUUCUCACUGGUGCACUCUGCCGGGCUCAGGCCAGCGUCGGUUCUCGCAGGGGGACAAAAGCUUCGGGAACGUAGCUCCUCCGGGAGUGUUAUAGCCCGUUGCUCAAUACCCCUGCGGGGACCGAGGUUCGCGCUCUGCAAGGACGCUGGCAUAAUGGUCAUCAGCGGCCCGUCUUGAAACACGGACCAAGGAGUCGAGGUUUUGCGCGAGUGUUUGGGUGUAAAACCCGCACGCGUAAUGAAAGUGAACGUAGGUGAGAGCUUCGGCGCAUCAUCGACCGAUCCUGAUGUAUUCGGAUGGAUUUGAGUAAGAGCGUAUAGCCUCGGACCCGAAAGAUGGUGAACUAUGCCUGAAUAGGGUGAAGCCAGAGGAAACUCUGGUGGAGGCUCGCAGCGGUUCUGACGUGCAAAUCGAUCGUCAAAUUUGGGCAUGGGGGCGAAAGACUAAUCGAACCAUCUAGUAGCUGGUUACCGCCGA